rnacentral:rRNA from 1 species
GACGUAGGGCGCGAGCGUUGUCCGGAUUUAUUGGGCGUAAAGCGCUCGUAGGCGGCUCGUUGCGUCGGCUGUGAAAACCCGCAGCUCAACUGUGGGCUUGCAGCUGAUACGGGCGGGCUGGAGUUCGGUAGGGGAGACUGGAAUUCCUGGUGUAGCGGUGAAAUGCGCAGAUAUCAGGAGGAACACCGGUGGCGAAGGCGGGUCUCUGGGCCGAUACUGACGCUGAGGAGCGAAAGCGUGGGGAGCGAACAGG